UCGAAGUUGCAUUUUUAUUUUAUGUACAAAGAAAGGUGUGUGGAAUACCAAAUCCACUAACGGGUGUAAAAAAGCAAACAAUUUGAAAUGCAUCACAUUAUGUAAAGUAAUCAGAUAACUUUUAGAAUGUGUUAGACCUUGUUUCCCCCACCAAAAUCCACAGACAAACAGUUAUGCAACUGUAUGCAAUUAUAGAAUGACAAGAGAGAUAAAACAGGUUCUGGGGAGGGUAGUGUAUUCCCAGGUGAAUCAGAUACAUGGCCUAAUCAGCUAAACAAGAUAACAUGUGAAAGUAUAAGAGUGUUUCACUUUCAUAUCAAAGUCACUCAAGACUAUAUCACAGACCAAAACCACAUAUCCUAAAAUAUUAUAGCCUUAUCACUGCAUUCUCCAUUUUUGAGAUCUCUCUUAUAUUGGAGUGGAAACCGACAAGACCACACAAUGAACGUAUAAAGGUUCUACAAAUGGGUUGCGCGGAGCUAUUGCAGGGGUUCCACAGCCAGAUCUCAAAAUGUAUUAAAAAAAACAGUUAACAGAUUUUGGCCAAGAAAUCCAUAGAACAAGUUUAGAGAGUGUAAUACAAUGUAAUAUUAUGAAUCUACGAUUUAUACUCUUAACCCUCGGCAACACGGACAUGGAAGGAUCACAGGGAUAUUGCUAGCCACAGUACUCCACCAAGGAGGGAAUCAGACAGAAGACCUGACCUGGGUACUGGAUGUGGAAAUGCACCACAUACAAGCAGUGGUGUAAAGCACUUAAGUAAACAUACUUUAAAGUACUACUUAGGUAGCUUUUUGGGGUAUCUGUACUAUAUUACAUAUAUUUGACAACUUUUACUUCACUACAUUCCUAAAGAAAAUAAUUUACUUUUUACUCUAUACUUUUUCUGUUACACCCAAAAGUAUUACAUUUUGAAUGCUUAGCAAGACAGAACAUCUUUCCAAUUCACACACAACCUGCUAUACAUGUUAAAAUUAAUGGGAAAAGUGCAUUGUCUGAAAAUAAUUUAUAUAUUCAAGCAACAGACCUAUAAAUCAUGAAACAAGUUACGUGUUUUAAUGUAGCCUUUUUUAUGGGGCCCAAGGAACACUCUCAAGAAGAAACCCAGUCAGCACCCCCAGCCACCAGGGGUGAGGCAGACUGCUGACCAAUCCCCAAAAACAUGGCCGACUGCAUCACAACAGGAAGAGUAUCACAUGAAAAGGGUCGUCAGUAGCUUUUAUAGACACAGUCACAAACCAUGCCCAUUUCCACAAUUUAUCUUCUUAAAAUUAGAUUUUCAACCUAACCUUAUGCCUAACACUAACUUUAAACCAAAAAUUAAUUUUGUAGCUAAUUUUGACUUUGUGGCUGUGGAACCCGACGUUGUGACUGUGGAACAGGACCUUGGGACGAUAGAAACUAGUGGAAACCAAUGAGAAGGGCUAAUCAUUUUCAUGGCCAGACGGUCAGGAACAACUAUGGGCCCAAGUUAUAGAUAGGGUGAAGAGAUUUUCCUGUUAAAGUCAGGAAAAACUCCUGGCUCUAAACAACAAUUAUUCAAUGAUGGGAAUUGGUCAUAAUCAGCUAACUGCGCAGUAACAGUGACAUGAAAUACGACAAAAUUAGGAUAAUGUAUGCACUUUAAGUUAUUUAGCUCGACUAUCAAAUAGAAAGAAAAAUGUACUAAAAUAACAUAAGUUCCAAAGGUGGACUAACCAGCCAUAAUCUCCCCAUUGCACCCAGUGAAAUACCCACCUCCUGCAUUGAGAGAACAGCUAAUCAGUGGUAAGAGUACAGGUUAAUAAUAGAAGCACACCUUAUAUAACAGCCAUGGAGAGGAUUUACAGAAAACAACAGCACCCCAUUAAACACAGCAUCCAUCCACACAUACACAGGUAAUAACCAAACAUCCAUACCAGCAGCUUAGAGAAACCGUAUUUUACAGCAUCAGCAUCUUCAGAGUAUGAUCAUGUAUGAGAUGUAGAUGAGUGGGGCGUUACCUGGAGAAGGUCUGAGAGAGGCCAUUAUGGGCUGAAGUAUAGCCAGGGCUGGGACAGUACAAAUUCAACCACACCUUUGUUUCAUCACAAAACCGGAGAGCAACAGCUGUCUGGUGAAGUCCACAAAGCAUGUGGUAUUAAAUGACCUACAGCAGGGUCAAGCAGGUUAAUGUUUCCGCCAUUUUCGGACUAGUAAACAACUAUUAAUUUAGAACCACAGAGUGUUAUCACAAGUCACAAAGAAAACAGGAGCUGCCUCCACUAUUCCAGUACCAUUUCAACAUCAUCAUAUAAUCUAUGCUUUCCGUUACACCCAAAAGUAUUAUAUUUUGAAUGCUUAGCAAGACAGAACAUUUUUCCAAUUCACACAUAACUAAUCCCUGGUCAUCCUUACUGAUCUAGCAGACUCACUAAACACAAAUGCUUCCUUUGUAAAUGAUGUCUUGAGUGUUAGAGUGUGCACCUGACUAUCCAUAAAUAAAUAAAAAGAACAAGAAAAUGGUGCCAUCUGGUUUGCUUAAUAUAAGGAAUUUUAAAUGAUUUAUACUUUUACUUUCGAUACUUAAAUAUAUUUUAGCAGUUGUUUACUUUUGAUACUUAGGUAUAUUUAAAACCAAAUACUUUUAGACUUUUACUGAAGUAGUUUUUUAUUGGGUGACUUUCAUUUUCUAUUAAGGCAUCUUUACUUUUACUCAAGUAUGACAAUUGGGUUAUUUUUCCACCACUGCAUACAGGAUUAUCACCCAAUUGUAUUUUUAUUUUAUUACCAUUUUAAUAUUAAUUGUACAACAAGUAUGCUGGCAGGCUUGGGUUACCACAAAACCCAGCUCUCAAAAAUAAAAUAUUCUGGGGAAAAAAACAGACUCAACACAUAUAUACAUAUAUAUAUAUAUAUAUAUAUAUAUAUAUAUACACUGCCAUCCUCCGGCGCCCUAGGCUCCCUGCCUAUAAGCAAUCUCACUCCACACUCAAUUUGGCAAACAUGGUUCUUCGCAUGUGUUCUGUAAAUCUGCAUGCUGUCCUACACUGUCGGUGAAAGGUUGCGAUGCUCCCUGGGUUGGUAGGGUGGCCAUGUCCUCCUCAGCCUUUCUCUUCCUUGGGGAAAGGGUCAGUGUGAGAUCUUUAUCCUGUGGGACAAGUCCUUUCAUUUCCUGCAAUAGGCUUUGCAGAUGUGAAGACAGGCCAGUCAUGUACUGUUCAUCUUGAAGAUGAUAGGUGAGGUCUGUGAUUUCUUUUAGAUAGCCUGCACAUUGCUUCUGCAACAUCUUCAAGUUCUUCUUAGAGGACCUCU
ensembl:lncRNA